UGAAGGUAAAUGGAAGAGACUGUCCCUGC
rnacentral:piRNA from 1 species